rnacentral:rRNA from 1 species
GACGAACGCUGGCGGCGCGCCUAACACAUGCAAGUCGAACGAGCGAGAGGGAGCUUGCUUUCUCGAGCGAGUGGCGAACGGGUGAGUAACGCGUGAGGAACCUGCCUCAAAGAGGGGGACAACAGUUGGAAACGACUGCUAAUACCGCAUAAGCCCACGGCUCGGCAUCGAGCAGAGGGAAAAACUCCGGUGGUGUGAGAUGGACCCGNGUCUGAUUAGGUAGUUGGUGAGGUAACGGCCCACCAAGCCGACGAUCAGUAGCCGACCUGAGAGGGUGACCGGCCACAUUGGGACUGAGACACGGCCCAGACUCCUACGGGA